AACGCUAGCUACAGGCUUAACACAUGCAAGUCGAGGGGCAGCACAGUGUAGCAAUACAUGGGUGGCGACCGGCGCACGGGUGCGUAACGCGUAUCCAACCUUCCCGUUACUCUUGGAUAGCCUUCCGAAAGGGAGAUUAAUACAAGAUGGUAUUCAAAUUCCGCAUGUUAUUUGAAUUAAAGAUUUAUCGGUAACGGAUGGGGAUGCGUGACAUUAGAUAGUAGGCGGGGUAACGGCCCACCUAGUCUACGAUGUCUAGGGGUUCUGAGAGGAAGGUCCCCCACACUGGAACUGAGACACGGUCCAGACUCCUACGGGAGGCAGCAGUGAGGAAUAUUGGUCAAUGGGCGAGAGCCUGAACCAGCCAAGUAGCGUGAAGGAUGAAGGUUCUAUGGAUUGUAAACUUCUUUUAUAUGGGAAUAAAGUCACCUACGUGUAGGUGUUUGUAUGUACCAUAUGAAUAAGGAUCGGCUAACUCCGUGCCAGCAGCCGCGGUAAUACGGAGGAUCCGAGCGUUAUCCGGAUUUAUUGGGUUUAAAGGGAGCGUAGAUGGGGAUUUAAGUCAGUUGUGAAAGUUUGCGGCUCAACCGUAAAAUUGCAGUUGAUACUGGAUUUCUUGAGUGCAGUUGAGGUAGGCGGAAUUCGUGGUGUAGCGGUGAAAUGCUUAGAUAUCACGAAGAACUCCGAUUG
rnacentral:rRNA from 1 species